GGGGUUGUGGCUCAGUGGUAGAGCACUUGCCUUGAAUGUGUGAGACACUGGGUUUGAUUCUCAGCACCA
rnacentral:tRNA from 1 species